rnacentral:sRNA from 1 species
UUACGUAUCCCUGGCUAGGCUGUGCAGUUUUUUUGGGUGAAAAUAAUUGUGAUAAUUUCAUGGAAAAAAGCUCGUUUUCAAGCGAUAUUUAGCAGGAUUUAACGUAUCACAUUGUUGAAGUAUUAAAUAUUGUGCUUGAAAUGUGUAUAAGAACUAGAAUUUUAUAAACAAAAAGUAAGAAAAAAUUACAGUUCAUCGUUGAAGAAAACGGGUGCAAACGAAGAAAACGACCACGAAGACGGCAAAAAUUGCAACUUUUUCGUCGUCGGGUAAAAGCAAGCGAAGGAAAAGAUAUAUUCGCCACAGCUUCUUUGGGAAAUUGUAAUAAUUUCAGGGUAAAAGAAGAC